rnacentral:lncRNA from 1 species
GGAAAAGAUGUUUAAAUCUAAAUCCUUAAUGGGAAACUUAUGAACGCUCCAGAGCUCAGCAAAUAUUUCACAGUGAAUAAUUUAUAUGACAGUACUACUACUAAUAGUGAGCUGCUGUGGUUCACUGUCCGGCUGGGUGUCACCACCGGAGGACAGCCCUUGCUCUCCCCGUGCACUGCCUGGGAUUGCACCUUAGGCUUAGCCAAUCCAUCAUUCUGCCUGGGGAAGAAUAACAGCCGGGUUUCUCCAUAAAACAACAUCUCAGUUCAGAUGGGGAGCCUGGCAGUAGCUCAGUACCUGACUACUUACUGCUGAUGAGCCCUGUUGCCGGUAAUCUAGAUUUAUGCUGUCAAACACAGGCUGCUUCUUCUCCCCUCUCAUUGCCAGCUCCCACUCAGCAUGCCUCCUUAGCACGUUCUGUGAUGGUGACACAAACUCCACUGAACCCUGUUGGAGUCUGAAAUUUCCCAGCAUGAGACAAAUAAACAGCAUUUUUUUCCUUUUUUUUUCCUUUUUUUUUUUCCUUUUUUCUCUUUUUGUCUCUCUUCCCAGACUGACAUGCUGUAAAAUAAAAUAAACAAGAAUUCUGAAACUUAUGUUGAUCAACACUGGUGUGGCAUGCAGAAAAUAUGUUGUGAAACAAAUGCUUUGAAUUAGGACACAUGCAAAGGCUCAGGGCUGAUUAAUAGCUACUGUAGUCAAAGACUUCUGAGAUUUUUUUUCUAAUGCUGUGGACCAGGAUAGAAUUUCAAACAUAUUAAUUAGCAAUAGUGUGCAUGUUUGUUGUUGAACCAUUGAGCAAAGGAAAGUGCUAGAACAAGCCAAGAAAUACUUUUGGAUACUCAGUCACAGAGAAAUCAAAGCAAGAGUACAACCGUCAGUCUCUGAAUUAAUUGCUCUGUGGGAGUGGGCAACUUUGAAGGUAGGGAGGAAUGAAAGACUGAUAGACUAAGGAUAGAUUUCAUUUGCUAGUCAUGCACCAAUAUUUGAUUGAUGGCUUGAUCUAGACUAAGGAUAGAUUUCAUUUGCUAGUCGUGCACCAAUAUUUGAUGGAUUGAUGCAGCCUGACUGAUGAAAAGCUCUAUCAGCCCCAUGUUUCAUCAAGAUACAAACAUGUGCAAUCUGGUAAAAAAUUUCAUCUGUGCAAAAUAACUGAUCUA